GAUGAACGCUGGCGGCGUGCUUAACACAUGCAAGUCGAACGAAACACCUUAUUUGAUUUUCUUCGGAACUGAAGAUUUGGUGAUUGAGUGGCGGACGGGUGAGUAACGCGUGGGUAACCUGCCCUGUACAGGGGGAUAACAGUCAGAAAUGACUGCUAAUACCGCAUAAGACCACAGCACCGCAUGGUGCAGGGGUAAAAACUCCGGUGGUACAGGAUGGACCCGCGUCUGAUUAGCUGGUUGGUGAGGUAACGGCUCACCAAGGCGACGAUCAGUAGCCGGCUUGAGAGAGUGAACGGCCACAUUGGGACUGAGACACGGCCCAAGCUCCUACGGGAGGCAGCAGUGGGGAAUAUUGCACAAUGGGGGAAACCCUGAUGCAGCGACGCCGCGUGAGUGAAGAAGUAUCUCGGUAUGUAAAGCUCUAUCAGCAGGGAAGAAAAUGACGGU
rnacentral:rRNA from 1 species